rnacentral:rRNA from 1 species
AGAGUUUGAUCCUGGUUUAUUGAUAAUAUUGGCGGCGUGGAUUAGGCAUGCAAGUCGAACGGGAAAGCUCCCUUCGGGGAGUGAGUAUAGUGGCGAACGGGUGAGUAACGCGUGGGAAACCUGCCCUUCAGCGGGGGAUAACAGGCCUAACGGCCUGCUAAUACCGCAUACGUCCCCUGAAUCGCAUGGUUCAGGGAAGAAAGGUGGCCUCUCUUUGAAGCUGCUACUGAAGGAUGGUCCCGCGUCCCAUUAGCUUGUUGGUAGGGUAACGGCCUACCAAGGCGACGAUGGGUAGCCGGCCUGAGAGGGUGUCCGGCCACACUGGGACUGAGAUACGGCCCAGACUCCUACGGGAGGCAGCAGUCGAGAAGCUUCGGCAAUGGGCAAAGCCUGACCGAGCGACGCCGCGUGAGUGAAUGAAGGCCCUAUGGGUUGUAAAGCUCUGUCAGAUUGGGAAGAAAACCUCGCGGUUAAUACCCGCGAGGCUUGACGGUACCAUCAGAGGAAGCACCGGCUAACUCCGUGCCAGCAGCCGCGGUAAUACGGAGGGUGCAAGCGUUGUUCGGAUUCACUGGGUAUAAAGGGUGCGCAGGCGGCCUGAUAAGUCAGGGGUGAAAUAUGUCGGCUUAACCCCGGACUUGCAAAAGAUACUGGCAGACUAGAGAGUGGUAGAGGCAGGCGGAAUUCCUGGUGUAGCGGUGAAAUGCGUAAAUAUCAGGAGGAACACUAAUGGUGAAGGCAGUUAAUUGGCCCGGUACUGACGCUCAGGCACGAAAGCUAGGGGAGCGAACAGGAUUAGAUACCCUGGUAGUCCUAGCCGUAAACGAUGGGCACUAGGUGUUGGAGGAGUCUACCCCUUCAGUGCCGCAGCUAAUGCAUUAAGUGCCCCACCUGGGGAGUACGAUCGCAAGGUUGAAACUCAAAGGAAUUGACGGGGGCCCGCACAAGCGGUGGAGCAUGUGGUUUAAUUCGAUGCAAUGUGAAGAAUUUUACCUGGACUUGACAUGCAGGGGACAGGUGCAGAAAUGUACCCUUCUUCGGACCCCUGUGCAGGUGCUGCAUGGCUGUCGUCAGCUCGUGUCGUGAAAUGUUGGGUUAAGUCCCGCAACGAGCGCAACCCCUGUCUUCAGUUGCCAUCAGUUUGGUUGGGGACUCUGGAGAGACUGCCGGUGAUAAACCGGAGGAAGGUGGGGACGACGUCAAGUCAUCAUGGCCCUUACGUCCAGGGCUACACACGAGCUACAAUGGUCGGUACAAUGGGCUGCGAUACCGUGAGGUGGUGCGAAUCCCAAAAAGCCGGCCUCAGUUCGGAUUGAAGUCUGUAAUUCGACUUCAUGAAGCCGGAAUCGCUAGUAAUCGCGUAUCAGAACGACGCGGUGAAUACGUUCCCGGGCCUUGUACACACCGCCCGUCAAGUCAACCGAGUUGGCUGCACCCCAAGUCGCUGAGCUAACCCGUAAGGGAGGCAGGUGCCCAAGGUGUGGUUGGCGAGGGGGACUAAGUCGAAAUAAGGUA